rnacentral:lncRNA from 1 species
UUUGGACUAAACUUGUAGAUUAAUUUCUAAAAUAAUUUCUUACCAGAAAAGGCAAAAUAAGAAGCUCUGCACGUAAAGCUAUUGAGCUUUUGACUUAAGCAGGAAGUUGAAAAAUAAAAAAAAUCUUAGAUUUCAAAAUAAAAGCCCUCCAUUUAUACAUACGCUUUGCUUUCUCACACAGGUUUACAUUAGUAACACUUUUGUAGUAGUUCCGAUUAUUUUGGACAUACC